UGAUACCUACGGGGGGCAGCAGUGGGGAAUAUUGCGCAAUGGGGGCAACCCUGACGCAGCAACGCCGCGUGAUUGAAGAAGGCCUUCGGGUUGUAAAGAUCUUUAAGCAGGGACGAAGAAAUGACGGUACCUGAAGAAUAAGCUCCAGCUAACUACGUGCCAGCAGCCGCGGUAAUACGUAGGGAGCAGGCGUUAUCCGGAUUUACUGGGUGUAAAGGGCGUGUAGGCGGGCCUGUAAGUCAGAAGUGAAAUCUGGGGGCUUAACCCCCAAACUGCUUUUGAAACUGCGGGUCUUGAGUGAUGGG
rnacentral:rRNA from 1 species